GAUGAACGCUGGCGGCGUGCCUAAUACAUGCAAGUCGAGCGAAUGGAUUAAGAGCUUGCUCUUAUGAAGUUAGCGGCGGACGGGUGAGUAACACGUGGGUAACCUGCCCAUAAGACUGGGAUAACUCCGGGAAACCGGGGCUAAUACCGGAUAACAUUUUGAACCGCAUGGUUCGAAAUUGAAAGGCGGCUUCGGCUGUCACUUAUGGAUGGACCCGCGUCACAUUAGCUAGUUGGUGAGGUACCGGCUCACCAAGGCAACGAUGCGUAGCCGACCAGAGAGGUGUAGAGGCCACACUGGUGCUGAGACACGGCCCAGACUCCUACGGGGGGCAGCAGUAGGGAAGCUUCCGCAAUGGACGAAAGUCUGACGGAGCAACGCCGCGUGAGUGAUGAAGGCUUUCGGGUCGUAAAACUCUGUUGUUAGGGAAGAACAAGUGCUAGUUGAAUAAGCUGACACCUUGACGGUACCUAACCAGAAAGCCACGGCUAACUACGUGCCAGCCGCCGCCGUAA
rnacentral:rRNA from 1 species